UACCGAGGUCUCCAGCGUUGUUCGGAUUCAUUGGGCGUAAAGGGUGCGUAGGCGGCGCGGUAAGUCGGGUGUGAAAUCUCGGAGCUUAACUCCGAAACUGCAUUCGAUACUGCCGUGCUUGAGGACUGGAGAGGAGACUGGAAUUUACGGUGUAGCGGUGAAAUGCGUAGAUAUCGUAAGGAAGACCAGUGGUGAAGGCGGGUCUCUGGACAGUUCCUGACGCUGAGGCACGAAGGUCAGGGGAGCAAACGGG
rnacentral:rRNA from 1 species